UACGUAGGGGGCGAGCGUUGUCCGGAAUUAUUGGGCGUAAAGAGCGUGUAGGCGGUUCGGUAAGUCUGCCGUGAAAACCUGGGGCUCAACCCCAGGCGUGCGGUGGAUACUGCCGGGCUAGAGGGUGGUAGAGGCGAGUGGAAUUCCCGGUGUAGCGGUGAAAUGCGCAGAUAUCGGGAGGAACACCAGUAGCGAAAGGCG
rnacentral:rRNA from 1 species